UACAGAGGUCUCAAGCGUUGUUCGGAUUCAUUGGGCGUAAAGGGUGCGUAGGCGGCGCGGUAAGUCGAGUGUGAAAUCUCGGAGCUUAACUCCGAAACUGCAUUCGAUACUGCCGUGCUUGAGGACUGGAGAGGAGACUGGAAUUUACGGCGUAGCGGUGAAAUGCGUAGAUAUCGUAAGGAAGACCAGUGGCGAAGGCGGGUCUCUGGACAGUUCCUGACGCUGAGGCACGAAGGUCAGGGGAGCAAACGGG
rnacentral:rRNA from 1 species